CCUACGGGAGGCAGCAGUGGGGAAUAUUGCACAAUGGGGGGAACCCUGAUGCAGCGACGCCGCGUGAGUGAAGAAGUAUUUCGGUAUGUAAAGCUCUGUCAGCAGGGAAGAAGAAAGACGGUACCUGAACAAGAAGCACCGGCUAACUACGUGCCAGCAGCCGCGGUAAUACGUAGGGGGCAAGCGUUAUCCGGAUUUACUGGGUGUAAAGGGAGCGUAGGCGGCAGGGCAAGUCUGGGGUGAAAUGUCAGGGCCCAACCCCUGGACUGCUCUGGAAACUGUUCGGCUGGAGUGCAGGAGAGGUAAGUGGAAUGCAUGUUGUAGCGGUGAAAUGCGUAGAUAUUA
rnacentral:rRNA from 1 species